GACGAACGCUGGCGGCGUGCCUAAUACAUGCAAGUCGAGCGGACGGAUGGGAGCUUGCUCCCAGACCGUCAGCGGCGGACGGGUGAGUAACACGUGGGCAACCUGCCUGUAAGACUGGGAUAACUCCGGGAAGCCGGGGCUAAUACCGGAUAACUCUUUCCCUCACAUGAGGGAAAGCUGAAAGAUGGCAUCUCGCUAUCACUUACAGAUGGGCCCGCGGCGCAUUAGCUAGUUGGUGAGGUAACGGCUCACCAAGGCGACGAUGCGUAGCCGACCUGAGAGGGUGAUCGGCCACACUGGGACUGAGACACGGCCCAGACUCCUACGGGAGGCAGCAGUAGGGAAUCUUCCGCAAUGGACGAAAGUCUGACGGAGCAACGCCGCGUGAGUGAUGAAGGUUUUCGGAUCGUAAAACUCUGUUGUCAGGGAAGAACAAGUACCGGAGUAACUGCCGGUACCUUGACGGUACCUGACCAGAAAGCCACGGCUAACUACGUG
rnacentral:rRNA from 1 species